GGCUUGGCGACCUGCUCGCCCCCUCCUCCACCAGCGCGUCCACCGCCAGGCUUGGCCCCCGCUCGCCCCCUCCUACACGAGCACCUCGUGCCCUUCCCUUCUCGCACCUCGAGUCCCAGCCCGACCUCCACGACCCAAGUCUGACCGCCGCCUCCCCCAUCCGCAGCCGCCGUUGUUCCCAGCGAUAGGUCUUGGACGAGGUCUCUGUUGGUCCCUCCCUGGAGCUUGCCCGAUGCACAGCUUGUGACUGGUUUUCCUUGCUUCCAAUCUUGCUAAGAUCUGUGGCUGAACAAGGACUGGACGAGCCAGCUGGUGGGAAACUGCAAUGGACUUAAUCAAGAAUCUUUCAGAGCUGGUUUUCGCCCUUUCACUUAAGGAUGACUACAUUGCAGGUGUUCGGAGCAUUUCACGGACAGAAGAGGAUGACAAUCAUGAGGGCAUGGAACUGGAAGGUGAAGAACAAGGGGAAGAGCAGCAGCCACGGCGACCGAAGCCACAGCAGGAGCCACGGUUGAAUGGGAAGGUGUUGUAUGACAUAGCUGGUGGUACACCGCAUGGACGUUUUGCCAUAGGAAAUGGUGCUGUUAGGGCAGCUGAUGUCAUGGCUGCUGCAAAGAAAAAUAGGUCACAUCCAUCAAAUUCAGUGUCUAUGCAAAGCAUGGCUCGAGAAAUGGCACGCUUACGGCAUGCAAAUGAAAGUCUGCAACGAGACAACCGUGCAAAGGAUAUUGCUACAAAUUUGA